rnacentral:tRNA from 37 species
GCAUCAGUGGUUUAGUGGUAAAAUCCAUCGUUGCCAUCGAUGGGCCCCGCGUUCGAUUCGCGGCUGAUGCA